UACRUGCAAGUCGGACGGCAUCCAAAACAGAGCUUGCUCAAUUUUAGUGAGAGUGGCGCACGGGUGCGUAACGCGUGAGCAACCUACCCAUAUCAGGGGGAUAGCCCGGUGAAAAUCGGAUUAACACCGCAUGACACAGCGACUCGGCAUCGAGAUGUUGUUAAAUAUUUAUAGGAUAUGGAUGGGCUCGCGUGACAUUAGCUAGUUGGUAAGGUAACGGCUUACCAAGGCAACGAUGUCUAGGGGCUCUGAGAGGAGAAUCCCCCACACCGGUACCGAGACACGGACCAGACUCCUACGGGAGACAGCAGUAAGGAAUAUUGGACAAUGGAGGGAACUCUGAACCAGCCAUGCCGCGUGCAGGAUGACUGCCCUAUGGGUUGUAAACUGCUUUUGUCCAGGAAUAAACACCUCUACGUGUAGAGGCUUGAAUGUACUGGAAGAAUAAGGAUCGGCUAACUCCGUGCCAGCAGCCGCGGUAAUACGGAGGAUCCGAGCGUUAUCCGGAUUUAUUGGGUUUAAAGGGCGCGUAGGCGGCCUAUUAAGUCAGGGGUGAAAGACGGCAGCUUAACUGUCGCAGUGCCUUUGAUAC
rnacentral:rRNA from 1 species